UUGCAACGAUGAAGAACGCAGCGAAAUGCGAUACGUAGUGUGAAUUGCAGAAUUCCGCGAAUCAUCGAGUCUUUGAACGCAAGUUGCGCCCGAGGCUCGACCGAGGGCAUCUCUGCCAGAGCGUCACCG
rnacentral:rRNA from 1 species